AAGUCGUAACAAGGUUUCCGUAGGUGAACCUGCGGAAGGAUCAUUAACACGUAUCCAACGUUAAAACCCCCUGUGAACCUUCAUUGUGGACCCCCAUUCCGUUAGAACGCGGCAAUCCCUGGUAAAUCAUCGCCGAACAGUGGUUUGGGCAGCUCCGCGAGGCAAGUGGCCUGGCAUUCGUAAGAAUGGCGCAGUCACGAUCGCUAGAGGCCGACACGGCCGGCGACCGGGUCACUGGGCUCUGCCCCCCUAUCACCUUUGCAUGAAACCGGGCCUGCGCUUAAUUGUGCGGCCACCAAACUUCGAACAACUGUUAACAAUGGAUAUCUUGGUUCUC
rnacentral:misc_RNA from 1 species